rnacentral:RNase_MRP_RNA from 2 species
AUGCCACAGGAUGAAGUGAGCGGGCCUAACAAGCCCUGGAAAGUCCCCGGGCCCUUUGCGCAGCGAUGCGCCCACGGAGACGUGGACGGCCCACGAGCUGGCUCUCCCCGGCCUCGGUUGGGGGGCUGAGACCUGUGUGGAGCCCAAUUAUUCAGGGAGCCGGCUCUGGGUCAAAUGGCCGAACCUAUCACAGUUAUUCACUUUGGUCCGCCGGACUAACAGAACGGGGCUUACACUCCUGUGGCA